rnacentral:rRNA from 1 species
UCUACGGGCGGCAGCAGUGGGGAAUAUUGGACAAUGGGCGAAAGCCUGAUCCAGCCAUGCCGCGUGUGUGAAGAAGGCCUUCGGGUUGUAAAGCACUUUCAGUGGGGAAGAAAGCCUUGGGGCUAAUACCCUCGAGGAAGGACAUCACCCACAGAAGAAGCACCGACUAACUCCGUGCCAGCAGCCGCGGUAAUACGGAGGGUGCGAGCGUUAAUCGGAAUUACUGGGCGUAAAGCGCGCGUAGGCGGUCUGAUAAGCCGGUUGUGAAAGCCCCGGGCUCAACCUGGGAACGGCAUCCGGAACUGUCAGGCUAGAGUGCAGGAGAGGAAGGUAGAAUUCCCGGUGUAGCGGUGAAAUGCGUAGAGAUCGGGAGGAAUACCAGUGGCGAAGGCGGCCUUCUGGACUGACACUGACGCUGAGGUGCGAAAGCGUGGGUAGCAAACAGGAUUAGAUACCCGUGUAGUC